ensembl:lincRNA E230013L22Rik RIKEN cDNA E230013L22 gene
GAUUCCAACUCUACUUCCCAGUCGCCUUACAUCCAGCAGAGUGGUCCAACGCUCUCUGACUCAGUUUCCUCGUUCAUAAAGAAGUCGGUAAUAGCAGCGGUGCUCAACUCCCAAGGCUGCUUUGUACACCAAAGGAGGGCACCCUGAGGGGGACAUUAAAGCACCUAAGAAGCGAGAGUCGUACUGAUCGGAGAUCUCUCCCAGGAUAACCCGAAUCUUCGCGAAGACGCACAGAGUGCUGCUGAACUGGAGAUUUUCUCAAUCGGCAAAGCAAGGCAAGUGGGAACAGAGGUGCAAUGAAUGUCACAGCCCAAAGUGGAGACCCCGCGGCUGCCCACAGACGACUCCUCGACCCCGCAGAGCCCCGAAGCCCGCCUGUCCCGGCGGCGCCGCCCUCACCUGCGGUGUCCCAUAUGGAGAUGUUGAAGGAACGCCACUGCUUCAGGUAGAAGGCGCCGCCCACGGUGCUGACCGUGUCCGGGAAGCGACGCUCCAUGUAGCGCUGCAGCAGCGACGUUUUACCCACGUUCAUGUCCCCCAGCAGUACGAUCUUCCCAUCCGGCUUCCGCAUAGCCGCGGAGGAGAUGACCCCUGCGCUUCUCGGUCACCCGCCCAGGAUGCCAGGGGACGCGGACCCCGGCCUCCAGGGACCCCGAACUCUAGUGGCCCUGGCCUGAGAUCCGAACUCGAUGAAGUGCCAAAGAGGAAGCGCGCCACAGCUCUGUACCGGAGUGUGAACGCAGCCCUGCGACCACUCCCCACCCUUUGAAAGCCUGUGUGUCGCCAAGUUUGGAGCCUAGGACCUGGGUCCUAAGGUGAAAGUUCCAGAGCGCCUUCCUUCGGACGCUCCAGUUCCUCCAAAAGCCCGGGUAGCCGCGGAGAGGCCCAGGACCUGGUGUUUGUCUAGUCACAGGCUCCCUUGGCUCUGUUUCGCUUCCCAGCCUGUGCCCAGCGCUCCUCCUCGGUGCACCUUGGUUGCACCCACACAGGUGGAGAGUUGCCUGGCUGGAAAAGUCCCUUGGAAGUCGGCUAAGAUUUAAGGGAGGAUGUGGAUGGGUCGGGGACACCGGGAGGUGCCUGCUAGGUUCGCUUUUUACUUCUGCAAGAAACCUUGAAGGGAAAACUUGACUUUGCAUUUGCAGUGACUGCUAGAAAACAGCUUCCCUUUCUCCUAUAACAGAGAACCCCUAAAACCAAAAUCUUCCUCCAGGGGCACAAGCAUGCAGGGAGGCGGAGGAGAUAUUUGGGGCUGAGUAAAGCCCACCAGGUCCAGGGGAGGGAAGGGAAGGGAGACGACUCUCCUAGUAGCUUCUCCCUCUGCACGUGCAGAGAUUCCACCGAGGCGAGAUGGCUACGCCUGCCUCAAGCACCCUGCCUGAGAACUGAGGACCGUUGCUCUAGGGAAUGCGGGUGGGAAAGUACGUUCUGGGGCGUGGAAUGCUCACCAGCGCGUGAAACCAGCUCCCUCUAAGCCCCAGGCUUCUGCUAGCCACCCAUCCCACCCCACCGCAUGUCCUCCCAGGGAAAUUUAAGUUACUUCCAACUUAUUAAGGGCUUGUUGCAUGAAAGUUACAGGGCCAGGCUGGAGGAGUAACCAGACGACAAGUCCCCAGAGUCUGAGAGAGAGAGAAAUGUAUGGGUUCUGUGUAAACAUCUAAGCUAGGAUCAGGGGGUGGCAAGAGUCCCUACCCCUAUCUCCCUUCGAGAAUCUUCUGGUGUUGAGUUCUUCUAAUUUUCUCAGAGGUGAGACAUCCUAAUUUCAUGAUAUAAUAGCUGAGAGAGGCUACUUCCCAAUGGAGAUGUAGUUAAACAGAAAACAAGGAAAACCAAAUACUUAAAAAUAAAACAACAUGAAAGCCC